GAAAAAGAGGGGUGAAAAGGAGGAGGGGUGAAACGAAGAAGGGCAACGGGUGCUCCCUCAUCAAGAGUGGACCUGGCUUCUGACCUGCAACUUCAUGAACACGUGGUCUUCCAGCCACCUUCCUGAGGACACAGGCUAAGGGCUUCAGGACAAGUCGGGUGGCUUGGUUUUCAGAAUUUCUGGGAGCCAGAGUCCCAUCAGGACCUCGGGUACUUUCAGCACCCGGGGUACUUUCAGGUGCUACCUGACCCACUGGUCUAACACUUGUCUGGCCUAGGAACCAUCAGCCAAGGGGAAGAGGCCCUGUGAGCUGACCGGCUGGACUGGAAAUUAACAGUUUCCCACUCAUCAACUUGCUGGUUGAUUCCCCAACAGUGGUCUCUGCUGCUCAGCUCCCCCUACCUGGCUCCAUGCAAGCACUGCCUGGUGUCAGGUGUCAGGGUGGGGUCUGGCAGCCCUGGGAAGGCAGUCCCUUUCUCCUGGAUCACCUUCAGGUGGGUCAGUAGAGGGAAGAACACUGCGGAACUCGGUCAGCUGUCUGCAAGUCAAUCAGCAGGAAACAAGGGCUUGCCCUGUGGUUUCUGCAAGAUGGCCUUGGCCUGUGUUCAGAUUCAGACUCAGGCCUAUAGCCAGUCUAGCCCGCUAUAGAGAAGGGCCAGGUGGGUAGUUUUCACCCCUUCUGCAGCUGUCUUAAGGGGGGUGCUGUGGUACACUGGGGAUGAGAGCCUUGAGCCCCCUACCCUGGGCAUCCUCUCCCCAUACCUUGGGGCGGGAGCAUUUUAGUCAUUUCUCUCAGCCCCACCCCAGGCACUGAUCAGUCCCACUGAGGCUGAGCUGGCUGCACCUUGCCCGGGCCCUCACAGCCUCUUCCUUCCCUCUCUGCUAUGGUGCUCUUGCCUGCCCCUGUGGGCAUUCUCAGGGAGAUGCCCUGAUUACAGGAUGUCACCAGCCUGUACCACUCUAUCAAGCUGGGCCUGGCUUCUGACCAGCAACUGCUGCAUGAAAGCUGGCCUUCCAGCCUCCUCCUCCAAGGCAAAGUUAGAAGAAGGGGAGAAAGGUUAGGCCCCUGUCAAGUAGAGUGCCCUCUUCUUGGGCUGGGUAGCUGGCCUUUUGCCUCCCUGAUCCCUUUGUCAGCAGGUCUGGGGAAUGAGGGAGGCUGCAGGUCGAGGUGGGUGCAGCUGGGACAGCUCUGUGUUUAUGCACAGAGGAGCUUGCACAAGGCCUCUAUUGUGAGGGGCUGUGCUGUGAGAAGGGGCUGGAGGAUGUUGUCCUCCCCUCGGGGACUCCUGCUCCCUAUGGUCUUGCUGACGGCCCAGCAGCCCCUAGCUAUCAGUGAUCCCACCAGACACUAUCUCCCUCCAAGCAAAGAGACACAGGACUUCUCUGGGAUGCACCCCAGCAUGUGCUGUUGUCUUCACCUGUGCACUAUCCCCGGUGGCCAGCAGGGGCCAGUCUUGCAGAUCACGCACACCUAAGAGCAGCGUUUUUUUUUUUUUUUUUGAGAUGGAGUUUCACUCUUGUUGC